GAAAUGCGAUAAGUAAUGUGAAUUGCAGAAUUCCGUGAAUCAUCGAAUCUUUGAACGCACAUUGCGCCCUCUGGCAUUCCGGGGGGGCAUGCCUGUCCGAGCGUCAUUACGCACCCUCAAGCCCGGCUUGUGUGAUGGGCCCUGGCGUCUCGUUCGCGAGACGGGCCCGAAAGGCAGCGGCGGCGUCGACCCAAUGAGCCCGAGCGUAUGGGGACUUUUGUCACACGUUUGCGGUGCGGACCGGCGCCUGCUUGACUUUUCUGAUUAUCCAGGUUGACCUCGGAUCAGGUAGGGAUACCCGCUGAACUUAAG
rnacentral:misc_RNA from 1 species